CUCUCUCCUCUCGUCCUCCCCCUCCGCACGCCGUGUGUCACCGGCUGGAAGAAGAAAGCAAAAUGUUGGGGCAGACGAGCGCAAUAAGAGAACGGGAGCAGCGUGGAGCGGUCGUGAGUUUUACGCCGAGAGAUGACUGCGACCUCCAUGAGGCCGACUCUUCUUUGAUGGACUAUCCUGGAAGAGGGAGGCCAGAGAGAGGGAGAGGAUGAAGAGGAAUUAGAGGAAGGCGACUUACCUCCCUCCAGUCCAGACUCAUUGUCCUGACACACACUCACACACACACGCCGCUGUGUCUGUGUGAGGACAGGGGGGUGCAGACGGUCAUUUUGAACGCCACCAUCCUGCAGACCGCCAUGCUCGCUUCUGAGGUGUAGGUGGUCUUCAACACGUUGUCGUUUGGACAUGCCCUUCACCUGCGCCUGCUUUUGCGGCCUGAACGGCUUCCUCAACAGACGGAAGGUGAAAAAAAAGGAGCGGCAAGCGGAAGAGGAGAGUGAGAAGGUAGCGCAAUGGAAGCAUCAGGAGACAGAUGUGUGACCUCCACUUUACUUAGGAUUAUUCUCCUGUGCCAGACUGCAAUAUAAUGUGCACUUUUUAUUCUUUUUUUUCACUUUAGGGAUGUAAACAAACUUAAGUGCUUUUUUUUUUUGCUUCCUGACUUGUUGACUUCAAAUGGUAAAAAGGUGCCAGAUUUAAUAUUUCUCUGCUUCUUAAACUGCCUGGAUGGAGAAACCACACCGCUGUCGUGAGCCUCAUUGCACAAGACAAAUCCUAUUAGUGAAAAAAACAAAAACAAAAUACCAUUGCCCGUCCUUACUGAAUUUUACUUUAAGGUAGGGUUGUCCCGAUAGCAAUAUUUUGGUACCGGUACCAGUACCAACAUGUAUUUUGAUACUUUUCGAUACUUUUCUAAAUAAAGGGGACCACAAAAAUGGCAUUAUUGACUGUAUUUUAACAAAAAAAUCUUACAGUACAUUAAACAUAUGUUUCUUAUUGCAAUUUUGUCCCUAAACAUACUAGACAAC